AUGCCGAGCGCGCUGGGGAGCGGCUUCGCCGGGUCGGUGAGGCUCAAGUACGUGAAGCUGGGGUACCAGUACCUGGUGAACCACUUCCUGGCGCUGCUGCUGGUGCCAGUCAUGGCGGCCACGGCGAUCGAGCUGGCGCGCCUCGGCCCCGGCGAGCUGCUCGCGCUCUGGCGCGCCCUCCACCUCGACCUCGUGCACAUCCUCUGCUCCGCCUUCCUCGUCGUCUUCGUCGCCACCGUCUACUUCAUGUCGCGCCCCAGGCCCGUCUUCCUCGUCGACUACUGCUGCUACAAGCCCUCGCCCAGCUUCCGGGUGCCCUUCACCACCUUCAUGGAGCACAUCAAGCUCAUCUCCAACAACGACAGGAGCCUCCGCUUCCAGACCCGCAUCCUCGAGCGCUCGGGGCUCGGGGAGGAGACCUGCCUCCCGCCGGCCAACCACUACAUCCCGCCCAACCCCAGCAUGGAGGCCUCCCGCGCCGAGGCGCAGCUCGUCAUCUUCAACGCCAUCGACGACCUCGUCCGCCGCACGGGGCUCAAGCCCAAGGACAUCGACAUCCUCGUCGUCAACUGCAGCCUCUUCUCCCCGACGCCCUCCCUCUCCGCCAUGAUCAUCAACAAGUACAAGCUCCGCAGCAACAUCCGCAGCUUCAACCUCUCCGGCAUGGGCUGCAGCGCCGGCCUCAUCUCCAUCGACCUCGCGCGCGACAUGCUCCAGGUGCAUCCCAACUCGAACGCGCUGGUGAUCUCGACGGAGAUCAUCACGCCCAACUUCUACCACGGGAGCCGGCGGGACAUGCUGCUGCCCAACUGCCUGUUCCGGAUGGGCGCGGCGGCGAUCCUGCUGUCGAACCGGCGGCGGGAGGCGCGGCGCGCCAAGUACAGGCUGGUGCACGUGGUGCGCACGCACAAGGGCGCGGACGACCGCGCGUACCGGUGCGUGUACGAGGAGGAGGACGACGAGGGGCACUCGGGCAUCUCGCUGUCCAAGGAGCUCAUGGCCAUCGCCGGCGAGGCGCUCAAGUCCAACAUCACCACCAUGGGCCCGCUGGUGCUGCCCAUGUCGGAGCAGCUGCUCUUCUUCUUCCGCCUGGUGGGGCGCAAGGUGGUCAACAGCAAGUGGAAGCCCUACAUCCCGGACUUCAAGCUGGCGUUCGAGCACUUCUGCAUCCACGCCGGCGGCCGCGCCGUCAUCGACGAGCUGCAGAAGAACCUGGAGCUGUCGCCGCGGCACGUGGAGGCGUCGCGGAUGACGCUGCACCGGUUCGGCAACACCUCCAGCAGCUCGCUCUGGUACGAGCUCGCCUACAUCGAGGCCAAGGGCCGCAUGCGCAAGGGCGACCGCGUGUGGCAGAUCGGCUUCGGCAGCGGCUUCAAGUGCAACAGCGCCGUCUGGAAGUGCCUCCGCACCGUCAAGACGCCCACCGACGGGCCCUGGGAGGACUGCAUCCAGCGCUACCCCGUCCACAUCCCGGACGUCGUCAAGCUGUGA
rnacentral:rRNA from 1 species